AUAUCAAUAAGCGGAGGAAAAGAAACCAACAGGGAUUGCCCCAGUAACGGCGAGUGAAGCGGCAACAGCUCAAAUUUGAAAUCUGGCUUCGGCCCGAGUUGUAAUUUGUAGAGGAAGCUUUUGGCAAGGCACCGACUGAGUCCCCUGGAACGGGGCGCCAUAGAGGGUGAGAGCCCCGUAUAGUUGGACGCUGAGCCUCUGUAAAGCUCCUUCGACGAGUCGAGUAGUUUGGGAAUGCUGCUCAAAAUGGGAGGUAAAUUUCUUCUAAAGCUAAAUAUUGGCCAGAGACCGAUAGCGCACAAGUAGAGUGAUCGAAAGAUGAAAAGCACUUUGAAAAGAGGGUUAAAUAGCACGUGAAAUUGUUGAAAGGGAAGCGCUUGUGACCAGACUUGCGCCUGGCCGAUCAUCCGGGGUUCUCCCCGGUGCACUCGGCCAGGCUCAGGCCAGCAUCGGUUCUCUUGGGGGGACAAAGGUCCCGGGAACGUAGCUCUCUACGGGGAGUGUUAUAGCCCGGGGCGUAAUGCCCUCGAGGGGACCGAGGACCGCGCUUCGGCAAGGAUGCUGGCGUUACGGUCAUCAGCGACCCGUCUUGAAACACGGACCAAGGAGUCAAGGUUUUGCGCGAGUGUUUGGGUGUAAAACCCGCACGCGUAAUGAAAGUAAACGUAGGUGAGAGCUUCGGCGCAUCAUCGACCGGCCCAGAUGUUCUCGGAAGGGCCUGAGUAGGAGCGUUAAGCCUUGGACCCGAAAGAUGGUGAACUAUGCUUGGAUAGGGUGAAGCCAGAGGAAACUCUGGUGGAGGCUCGCAGCGGUUCUGACGUGCAAAUCGAUCGUCAAAUCUGAGCAUGGGGGCGAAAGACUAAUCGAACCAUCUAGUAGCUGGUUAC
rnacentral:rRNA from 2 species